UGCCCCCUGCAGGGUUCGUUAGUCGCUGGGGAUUUCUUGAGCCGAUAAUCACACCCCCGGGGUUGCUGCGACGGUGUUGUGUGCAUGUCCGUGCUGCGGAAAGCCUGAUGCAUCGACCGGCCUCCCCACUUGAGCCAAUGGGUUCAAGGAGCAACAGCGACGACGGCCCAGGCGGAGGGCAC
rnacentral:other from 1 species